rnacentral:rRNA from 1 species
UGGGGAAUCUUGGACAAUGGGGGCAACCCUGAUCCAGCCAUGCCGCGUGAGUGAUGAAGGCCUUAGGGUCGUAAAGCUCUUUCGCCUGUGAAGAUAAUGACGGUAGCAGGUAAAGAAACCCCGGCUAACUCCGUGCCAGCAGCCGCGGUAAUACGGAGGGGGUUAGCGUUGUUCGGAAUUACUGGGCGUAAAGCGCACGUAGGCGGACCAGAAAGUUGGGGGUGAAAUCCCGGGGGCUCAACCCCGGAACUGCCUCCAAAACUAUUGGUCUAGAGUUCGAGAGAGGUGAGUGGAAUUCCAAGUGUAGAGGUGAAAUUCGUAGAUAUUUGGAGGAACACCAGUGGCGAAGGCGGCUCACUGGCUCGAUACUGACGCUGAGGUGCGAAAAGUGUGGGGAGCAAAACAGGAUUAGAUACCCCUGGUAGUCCACACCGUAAAACGAUGAAUGCCCAGUCGUCGGGGUAGCAUGCUAUUCGGUGACACACCUAACGGAUUAAGCAUUCCGCCUGGGGAGUACGGUCGCAAGAUUAAAACUCAAAGGAAUUG